UACGAAGGGGGCUAGCGUUGCUCGGAAUUACUGGGCGUAAAGGGCGCGUAGGCGGCCCGCUAAGUCGAACGUGAAAUCCCCAGGCUCAACCUGGGAACUGCGUCCGAUACUGGCAGGCUUGAAUCCGGGAGAGGGAUGUGGAAUUCCAGGUGUAGCGGUGAAAUGCGUAGAUAUCUGGAGGAAUACCGGUGGCGAAGGCGGCAUCCUGGACCGGCAUUGACGCUGAGGAGCGAAAGCUAGGGGAGCAAACGGG
rnacentral:rRNA from 1 species